GCUGGCGGCGUGCCUAAUACAUGCAAGUCGAGCGGACAGAAGGGAGCUUGCUCCCGGAUGUUAGCGGCGGACGGGUGAGUAACACGUGGGUAACCUGCCUGUAAGACUGGGAUAACUCCGGGAAACCGGAGCUAAUACCGGAUAGUUCCUUGAACCGCAUGGUUCAAGGAUGAAAGACGGUUUCGGCUGUCACUUACAGAUGGACCCGCGGCGCAUUAGCUAGUUGGUGAGGUAACGGCUCACCAAGGCGACGAUGCGUAGCCGACCUGAGAGGGUGAUCGGCCACACUGGGACUGAGACACGGCCCAGACUCCUACGGGAGGCAGCAGUAGGGAAUCUUCCGCAAUGGACGAAAGUCUGACGGAGCAACGCCGCGUGAGUGAUGAAGGUUUUCGGAUCGUAAAGCUCUGUUGUUAGGGAAGAACAAGUGCAAGAGUAACUGCUUGCACCUUGACGGUACCUAACCAGAAAGCCACGGCUAACUACGUGCCAGCAGCCGCGGUAAUACGUAGGUGGCAAGCGUUGUCCGGAAUUAUUGGGCGUAAAGGGCUCGCAGGCGGUUUCUUAAGUCUGAUGUGAAAGCCCCCGGCUCAACCGGGGAGGGUCAUUGGAAACUGGGAAACUUGAGUGCAGAAGAGGAGAGUGGAAUUCCACGUGUAGCGGUGAAAUGCGUAGAGAUGUGGAGGAACACCAGUGGCGAAGGCGACUCUCUGGUCUGUAACUGACGCUGAGGAGCGAAAGCGUGGGGAGCGAACAGGAUUAGAUACCCUGGUAGUCCACGCCGUACACGAUGAGUGCUAAGUGUUAGGGGGUUUCCGCCCCUUAGUGCUGCAGCUAACGCAUUAAGCAUUCCGCCUGGGGAGUACGGUCCGCAAGACUGAAACUCAAAGGAAUUGACGGGGGCCCGCACAAGCGGUGGAGCAUGUGGUUUAAUUCGAAGCAACGCGAAGAACCUUACCAGGUCUUGACAUCCUCUGACAACCCUAGAGAUAGGGCUUUCCCUUCGGGGACAGAGUGACAGGUGGUGCAUGGUUGUCGUCAGCUCGUGUCGUGAGAUGUUGGGUUAAGUCCCGCAACGAGCGCAACCCUUGAUCUUAGUUGCCAGCAUUCAGUUGGGCACUCUAAGGUGACUGCCGGUGACAAACCGGAGGAAGGUGGGGAUGACGUCAAAUCAUCAUGCCCCUUAUGACCUGGGCUACACACGUGCUACAAUGGACAGAACAAAGGGCUGCGAGACCGCAAGGUUUAGCCAAUCCCACAAAUCUGUUCUCAGUUCGGAUCGCAGUCUGCAACUCGACUGCGUGAAGCUGGAAUCGCUAGUAAUCGCGGAUCAGCAUGCCGCGGUGAAUACGUUCCCGGGCCUUGUACACACCGCCCGUCACACCACGAGAGUUUGCAACACCCGAAGUCGGUGAGGUAACCUUUAUGGAGCCAGCCGCCGAAGGUGGGGCAGAUGAUUGGGGUGAAGUCGUAACAAGGGAAACCGAAGAAC
rnacentral:rRNA from 1 species